rnacentral:rRNA from 1 species
ACGGGUGCGUAACACGUGGAUAACCUUCCUUCAGGUGGGGAAUAACCCAGUGAAAAUUGGGCUAAUACCGCAUAACAUGACGAUGCCACAUGGUGUUGUCUUCAAAGCCGCAAGGCGCCAGAAGAGGGAUCCGCGGCCGAUUAGCUUGUUGGCGAGGUAAUGGCUCACCAAGGCAUUGAUCGGUAGCCGGACUGAGAGGUUGGCCGGCCCCACUGGAACUGAGACACGGUCCAGACUCCUACGGGAGGCAGCAGUGGGGAAUCUUGCACAAUGGACGAAAGUCUGAUGCAGCAACGCCGCGUGGGGGAUGAAGCUUUUCGGAGUGUAAACCCCUUUCGACCCGGAAGAAUGCCCGCAAGGGUUUGACGGUACGGGUAUAAGAAGCCCCGGCUAACUACGUGCCAGCAGCCGCGG